CGGGUGAGUAACACGUAUGCAACCUGCCUGCCACAGCCGGAUAAUCGGGAGAAAUUCCGUCUAAUACGGCAUAAUGCAUCGACGGGACAUCCUGUUGGUGCCAAAGGUUGAUUCCGGUGGCGGAUGGGCAUGCGUCGCAUUAGUUAGUUGGCGGUGUAACGGACCACCAAGACGACGAUGCGUAGGGGUUCUGAGAGGAAGGUCCCCCGCACUGGUACUGAGACACGGACCAGACUCCUACGGAAGGCAGCAG
rnacentral:rRNA from 1 species